rnacentral:rRNA from 1 species
UACGUAGGGGGCAAGCGUUGUCCGGAUUUAUUGGGCGUAAAGAGCGUGUAGGCGGCCAUACAGGUCCGUUGUGAAAACUGGAGGCUCAACCUCCAGACGUCGACGGAAACCGUAUGGCUAGAGUCCGGAAGAGGAGAGUGGAAUUCCUGGUGUAGCGGUGAAAUGCGCAGAUAUCAGGAAGAACACCCGUGGCGAAGGCGGCUCUCUGGGACGGUACUGACGCUGAGGAGCGAAAGCGUGGGGAGCGAACAGG